AGUGAACGCUGGCGGCAGGCCUAACACAUGCAAGUCGAGCGGCAGCGCGUCCGACCACCCUCGGGUGGUCGGAUGGCGGCGAGCGGCGGACGGGUGAGGAAUGCAUCGGAAUCUGCCUCGUUGUGGGGGAUAACGUAGCGAAAGUUACGCUAAUACCGCAUAUUCUGUGAGCAGGAAAGCAGGGGAUCGCAAGACCUUGCGCUGAUGGAGCGGCCGAUAUCAGAUUAGCUAGUUGGUGAGGUAAAGGCUCACCAAGGCGACGAUCUGUAGCGGGUCUGAGAGGAUGAUCCGCCACACUGGGACUGAGACACGGCCCAGACUCCUACGGGAGGCAGCAGUGGGAAUUUUGGACAAUGGGGCAACCCUGAUCCAGCCAUGCCGCGUGAGUGAGAAGGCCU
rnacentral:rRNA from 1 species